rnacentral:hammerhead_ribozyme from 1 species
GUCCAGCUAACGAGUUAUAAAUAGGAGGAAACGCGCGUCCUGGAU